GAUGAACGCUGGCGGCGUGCCUAAUACAUGCAAGUCGAGCGAACAGACGAGGAGCUUGCUCCUUCGACGUUAGCGGCGGACGGGUGAGUAACACGUAGGUAACCUACCUAUAAGACUGGGAUAACUUCGGGAAAUCGGAGCUAAUACCGGAUAAUAUUUCGAACCGCAUGGUUCGAUAGUGAAAGAUGGCUUUGCUAUCACUUAUAGAUGGACCUGCGCCGUAUUAGCUAGUUGGUAAGGUAACGGCUUACCAAGGCAACGAUACGUAGCCGACCUGAGAGGGGGAGCGGCCACCCUGGAACUGGGACACGGUCCAGACUCCUACGGGAGGCAGCAGUAGGGAAUCUUCCGCAAUGGGCGAAAGCCUGACGGAGCAACGCCGCGUGAGUGAUGAAGGUCUUCGGAUCGUAAAACUCUGUUAUUAGGGAAGAACAAACGUGUAAGUAACUGUGCACGUCUUGACGGUACCUAAUCAGAAAGCCACGGCUAACUACGUG
rnacentral:rRNA from 1 species